UGAGAAUCCCACAGGCCGUAAACCCAAGGUUUCCAGGGGAAGGUUCGUCCGCCCUGGGUUAGUCGGGACCUAAGCUGAGGCCGAAAGGCGUAGGUGAUGGACAACAGGUUGAUAUUCCUGUACUACCGAUAACCGUUUGAGAGAUGGGAUGACACAGUAGGAUAAGCUAAGCACACUGUUGGUUAUGUGUGCCCAAGCAUUGAGGCAGUCAGAGUAGGUAAAUCCGCUUUGAUAAUGCUGGGAUGUGAUGGGGAGCGAAAUUUAGUAGCGAAGUAGUUGAUUUCACACUGUCAAGAAAAGUCUCUAUCGAGGUUAAAGGUACCCGUACCGCAAACCGACACAGGUGGGUGAGGAGAGUAUCCUAAGGCCCGCGAGAGAACUGUUGUUAAGGAACUCGGCAAAAUGACCCCGUAACUUAGGGAUAAGGGGUGCCACCAUCCGGUGGCCGCAGAGAAUAGGCCCAAGCGACUGUUUACCAAAAACAUAGGUUUCUGCUAAGUCGCAAGACGAUGUAUAGGAGCUGACGCCUGCCCGGUGCUGGAAGGUUAAGGGGAUCUGUUAGAGCAAUCGAAGCAGUGAACUUAAGCCCCAGUAAACGGCGGCCGUAACUAUAACGGUCCUAAGGUAGCGAAAUUCCUUGUCGGGUAAGUUCCGACCCGCACGAAAGGCGUAA
rnacentral:rRNA from 1 species